CUUCCUUUCAGUCUCUCUCUAGUCUUGUUGAGAGUUGAGAGUUGAGACUAGAGAUCAUUAUCCAAAAAAAAAGUUGAGACUCGAGAGUUGAGAGAUAAAUCAAACCCAGAUCUACUUUCUUUCUCUCCUCAUCUCAGUCUUCGUCUCCCUCUCCUUCCGAGUUGAGAUCUGAACAAGAUCUAGUUUGUUCUCCCGUCAUUUUAAUUUGAUUCCUCUCUAUUGUUUUUUUUUUUUCCUUUUCCGGCUUCGGUCUAUCUUCUCGUUAAUUUAGGCCUCUCCGACUUUUCCUCAACAUAUGCCCAGAAACCCUAAUCCCAAAAACUCCCUGUAUUCACUCUGGCAAAUUGAGAUUUCAUUUCAAAGCAGAAGGAGGUAAAUCAGGAUUGGGAACUAAAAAUUGAAAUCAGAAAGAAUGGGAUUAACAACAUAAGGAAGCAUUGUUACCAUGUCGGGCCAAUUUCAUCCACUUCCACCUAUGGUCUCCAUGGAACUGGAAAGGCUCUUAUUUCUUUUCAACCUGGCGGAUGGUCAAUCACUUAACACAGUCUCAUUGAAUGGCAUGUGGAUGUAUUUAGCACUCUGUUUGUUUUGAUAUGGAGGUGCUAGACUUUGCUUGCCUUAUCAGUAUGUCUUAGAAUGGCAUGUGGAUGAAUUUAGCACUUUGUUUGAUUGUUGUCAGAAAGGUAGAGUUUGUUUGUGGUAAUAUGUAUGCCCAUUGACACAAUAGCAAAACCCUUUUUUCAUUGGCCAAUCAACGACAUCUGAAUACUCAUAAAUUGCAUUCAUUUAAUUGUUGGAAAUCUGAUACUUUAGCUAAUGUCCUUUUUGUAUCUCUAUGUAUAUUUAUUCUAGUCUUUUUAUUCUGUUUUCAUAUGCCAAUGUGCUUAAAGGAAGCUCUUUGGCUAAAAAUGGCCAUACUCUUCAUCUUUUGCAGAUAUUCUUAAUUUCCUCCAUGUUAUAUAUUUGUUUGUGUAACAAAAAUGGACUCAUGUUAUUUAUUUGCACAUUGCGGGUGGGAUUGUACCACACAACUGUUUGGAUACACAAAAUUUGAAUUAAGCACUCUCUUCUGCAGUAGUUUUAUGAAUCUUAUUCCAAGUGCAUAUGAUUAUUGGCCUUCCAAUUGCAGGUUCUUGUCUAACUCAGGAAUGUGGGAUUGGUGUACAAUGCAAAGUUCAUAGGCCAGCUAUGGAGAUAAUUUUGGAAUAAACUCAAUGAUCGAUUAAAAUUGAACUUUUGUAUCUCAGUUUCGGUUUGUAGUUGAUGACCAUAUGGCUAAUAACUAUGUUGCCAAGCUUUCUUAACCUUAAUGUUGUAGAUCUAACUAGUGUUGUUUUUCUCUCCAGGUACCACCACUCAGCUUUCAACAUCAUCUUCUCUGCAACUUUCACUUUAGUUAUUUUAUUAGGAGAUCAGGAAAUGCUAAUUGGACAUCCAAGAUAGACAAAUGAGAAAGCAUAUAAAAGUUGCUGGAGGUGGAGGUAUCAGAUGCAGCUAUGGGGAGGAAGAUAAAGAGAUUUAUGAUUUUUUAAUCUUGUAUUUCAUGUGAAGUUGUAUAUGAAUUGUACAGUAUUAUAAUUAGUAUAUUUUAGAAUUAUACAGUACAUAUAGGUGGGCCAAAUCGUUAAUUUUUUUAUAUAUAUCCUCCCAAGUCUGCCACUGAUGUCGGUGGCAUUAGAAAACACACCAAUUCAAUAACAGUGGGAAGGAAAAAGUAAUGUGCUGCAUUGGGUAUUGGUAUGUCACUGUUGUUUUAUCAGUGUGUAUUGUCCCAAUAGCACCUGCAAUAGAGGGGACUGAUUCCUCAAUAAUG